UCGGAUGUGGUGUAAUGGCUAGCAUUGCCGCCUCCCCUCAGAUGUUGUGCUAUUUCUUCCGCGGCGGCCCAGGGUUCGAUUCUCUGUAUCCGAA